UGUCUCCCACCAGGCCCCAAGUUUGAUCCUUAGCUUUGGUUUUUGUGUGGUUUCGUUAAUUUUAUUUUCUUAAAGAUAGUCUUUCUUUAUUUUAUUUUUCUUUCGUAAUUAUUUGGUUUAGAUUAAGUUUUUUUCUCGUAUUCCCUAUUUAAUUCAAAAAAGCAUGGUUGCUUUAUUCUAUUUUCGUUCAUUUUUAUUUUUUAAAAUGCG
rnacentral:lncRNA from 1 species